CCUACGGGAGGCAGCAGUGAGGAAUAUUGGUCAAUGGACGAAAGUCUGAACCAGCCAAGUAGCGUGAAGGAUGACUGCCCUAUGGGUUGUAAACUUCUUUUAUAUGGGAAUAAACUGUUCCACGUGUGGGAUUUUGUAUGUACCAUAUGAAUAAGGAUCGGCUAACUCCGUGCCAGCAGCCGCGGUAAUACGGAGGAUCCGAGCGUUAUCCGGAUUUAUUGGGUUUAAAGGGAGCGUAGGUGGAUUGUUAAGUCAGUUGUGAAAGUUUGCGGCUCAACCGUAAAAUUGCAGUUGAAACUGGCAGUCUUGAGUACAGUAGAGGUGGGCGGAAUGCGUGGUGUAGCGGUGAAAUGCUUAGAUAUCACGAAGAACUCCGAUUGCGAAGGCAGCUUACUGGACUGCAACUGACACUGAGGCUCGAAAGUGUGGGUAUCAAACAGGAUUAGAUACCCUUGUAGUC
rnacentral:rRNA from 1 species